rnacentral:lncRNA from 1 species
UGAUACGUGCUCCCUGUGUGCUUCACGGACCAGGACAGAAUUGGGCCAAAUUUGGUCAGCUUCACCCCAUGCUGCCCAGUCUGCUUCCCAUCCUUGGGCAGCAUCGUUCCUGCAGUCAUUGAGAUAUGCUGGUUCUGAGCUGGAAAAGUCAGAUAAAGAACAAUAAAUAACUAUCCAAACUUCCACUGUGUUAUUUAUUGGCAUGGCAUGGAGAAACGCCUGAUGGAUGGCAUGCUUUGCACAGUCUCUCACCUGACAGGAAGAGCGGCGUUUCAGUGACGCCUUGGAAUUCUAGGGGUUGCAGUUCGCUGUUGUCAUCUAGCACGCUGAAGUCCACCAGCCUGUGCAUAACCACAAUGUCAG